rnacentral:rRNA from 1 species
GAUGAACGCUGGCGGCGUGCCUAAUACAUGCAAGUCGAGCGACCAGACGAGGAGCUUGCUCCUCUGACGUUAGCGGCGGACGGGUGAGUAACACGUAGAUAACCUACCUAUAUGACUGGGAUAACUUCGUGAAACCGGAGCUACUACCGGCUCAUAUAUUCAACCGCAUGGUUCAAUAGUUCUCGACGGUUUUGCUGUCACUUUUAGAUGGAUUCGCGUCGCAUUAGCUAGUUGGUAAGGUAACGGCUUACCAAGGCGACGAUGCGUAGCCGACCUGAGAGGGUGAACGGCCAAACUGGAAAUGAGAAACGGUCCAGAAUCCUAAGGGAGGCAGGAGGAGGGAAACUUCCGAAAAGGGCGAAAGCCUGAAGGAGCAAAGCCGCGUGAGUGAUGAAGGUCUUCGGAUCGUAAAACUCUGUUAGUAGGGAAGAAAAAAUGGGUAAGUAACAAUGCACGUCUUGAAGGUACCUAAUCAGAAAGGCACGGCUAAAUACGUG